rnacentral:rRNA from 1 species
AGUGAACGCUGGCGGUAGGCCUAACACAUGCAAGUCGAACGGCAGCACAGUAAGAGCUUGCUCUUACGGGUGGCGAGUGGCGGACGGGUGAGGAAUACAUCGGAAUCUACUUUUUCGUGGGGGAUAACGUAGGGAAACUUACGCUAAUACCGCAUACGACCUACGGGUGAAAGCAGUGGAUCUUCUGACCUUGCGCGAUUGAAUGAGCCGAUGUCGGAUUAGCUAGUUGGCGGGUUAAAGGCCCACCAAGGCGACGAUCCGUAGCUGGUCGGAGAGAAUGAUAGGCGACACUGGAACGGGGACACGGUCAAGACUCCUACGGGAGGCAGCAGUGGGGAAUAUUGGACAAUGGGGGCAAGCAUGAUCCAGCCAUACCGCGUGGGUGAAGAAGGCCUUCGGGGUGUAAAGACCUUUUGUUGGGAAAGAAAAGCAGCAGGUUAAUACCCCGCUGUUCUGACGGUACCCAAAGAAUAAGCACCGGCUAACUUCGUG